GGCGCGAAAACUUUACAAUGCUGGCAACAGCGAUAAGGGAACCUCGAGUGCCAGGUUACAAAUCUGGCUGUCGAGAUGCCUAAAAAGCAUUUCAUAGCAAGGGCCGGGCAAGACCGGUGCCAGCCGCCGCGGUAACACCGGCGGCUCGAGUGGUAACCGUUAUUAUUGGGUCUAAAGGGUCUGUAGCCGGCCGGAUAAGUCUCUUGAGAAAUCUGGCAGCUUAACUGUCAGGCUUUCAGGAGAUACUGUCUGGCUCGAAGCCGGGAGAGGUGAGAGGUACUUCAGGGGUAGGGGUGAAAUCUUGUAAUCCUUGAAGGACCACCAGUGGCGAAGGCGUCUCACCAGAACGGACCUGACGGCAAGGGACGAAAGCUAGGGGCACGAACCGGAUUAGAAACCCUGGUAGUCC
rnacentral:rRNA from 1 species